CUUUGACGCAGUUGCGCCUCAGCCAUUGGGUUGAGGGCACGUCUGCUUGGGUGUCA
rnacentral:rRNA from 1 species